GUGAGGACCGGAGGCGGGGAGUGGGGGUGCUGCGACCCGCGGGUGAGCCGGGUGAUUCGAGGUCGGAGCCGACCAGCGGCCGCAGGGAGAGGCGGGCUGGCGCCUCCCCGGCGGGCGUCCCUCGGGUCGGGAUUACAGGUUACGGUUGCGAGGCUGGCAGGGCCGGAGACACUCGGCCUCGCGGCCGCCACCACCGCCACCGUGGCACUUUGGGCCGGGGGCGGGGAGGAGAGCAUUCCUAGGGGCCCGCCAGCCAAACCCGGGUCGGGCAGGCCCCGCCCCGGCCGGCCCCAAGCGGCUCACAGAAGCCUUGGCGCAGUCCAGCUCGCGGGGGGAUGGGCGAGGGUGGGGGGCAGAAAUAGCAAUCUGCAGCCGGCAAGGGGGCGGCACUUAGUCAGGCUCCGCCCACAAGACCCGGCUGCCGUCCCCGCCCGCCUGCGCGGGAUCGACUCCGCAUGCGCACUGGAGCCUCGGAAUACAGCCAGGACUCUCCCGUCGGAAUGCGCCCCUAAGUUGGGCCAAGCCCAUUCAUUCAGGGGCUCCCGAGCCACGUAGGCGCCAUCCCUGGCCAGAGGGGUUCUGAGGAGGUGGGCAAGGGCAGACACUCUCUCCCGGUCUCAAAUUCGAAAUAGGGACUAGAAGGGAACUUCACGCGAGGCCUCGCAACUGUCGCGAGAAUCAGAACAGGAAAUCUAGGAACCGAGAACACUAAGAGCCCGCGGAUUUUAAACAGGAAAAAGAAAGGGCGGAGCAAACUCUGGCGGAUAGUUGUGAGUAAUCCCUGGUCCUUGGAAUAAGUGUCGACCUGAGACAGAAGGGGAACUGUCAGAGAGCUGCCGGAGACCCUGAAAAAGGCCAGAGACGGGGACUUGUGGGGCUGACGAAUGGAAUCACCCAAGGAGAGGUCUCUGACUCUAACAAAACACCUUGGGGACGGAGCUCCUUGGCUGGGAUACAGAGCAGACAAGUCCGGGAUCUUUUAGUGAAUUGCUGCCGGCUUCUAAGGCCUGGAGCAGAUAUUCAACAACAAACUCCACGGACCUAGAAACUCUCCACUUAUCCUACUAUUGUAGACGGUGGCUUACUUUUAGUCUUCCCUAUGCUCUAAGCUUCUGGUAGUAGGAAUCGUGCCUAACUCACUACUGUAUCUUGUGAACCUAGCCCCGCGCCUGGUGGCACGUCAAAUUCUCGGUAAAUAUUUGUGGAUUAAAUGUGAAAGACUGCCUGAGUGUUUAACCUGGAUUUUCUGAGUCGCUGAUGGAGAACAGUAGGUAGACGGGGAACCAGCGCCCUCUGGUGGGCUUGUGGUUCGUGACGAGAACAUGCUGGAACCGUGCAUCCAGAUGCUUGUAUUGAAGAAGGAAUGAGGUAUAGAAUGUAGUUUUCUUUCCACUGUGAAGCCCUGUGUUCACAAGAUUAUCAUACGUUCACUUUCAGUCACUGACACAUGAAAUAACUGAAGUAUAAUGACAGAAUGAUGAGCUGGAGUGUGGUGGUGCACGCCUGUAGCACCAGCUACUUGGGAGACUGAGGCAGUAGGAUCCCUUGAGCUCAAGGGUUCGAGAGACCAUGUCUCUUUAAAAAUAGAAGUUUAGGGCCAGGCGUGGUGGCUCAUACCUCUUAAUCCCAGCACUUUGGGAGGCGGAGGCGGGUGGAUCACCUGAGGUCAGGAGCUUGAGACCAGCCUGGUCAAUAUGGUGAAACCCUGUCUCUACUAAAAAUACAAAAAUUAGCCCAGCGUGGUGGUGCACGCCUGUAAUCCCAGCUACUCAGGAGGCUGAGGCAGGAGAAUCGCUUGAAUCUGGGAGGCAGAGGUUGCAGUGAGCCCAGAUCACGCCACUGCACUCCAGCCUGGGUGACAGAGCAAGACCCCCUCUCAAAAAAUAAAAAUAAAAAAUAGAAUUUUAAAAAUAAAAGAGUGAAAAGAGCCCUAUACAGAUGAACAACAAAAGAUGAAACAAGGCAUACAGUCAUUGUUUAAUUUGGUAAAGAAAAGAAAUUACUUCAAAUGAUCCACAUAUUUCAACCUGUCACUUCACAAACCCUGUUUUGACACAGCUGGUGAAAAUAGUAGAGUUGCAACUUUGAGGAAGAAGCAGGAAUGAAACAAAUGGUCCAUACUGACCUAUUAAAGACGGAUAUGGAGAAAUUGUGCUUCCUGUGAAUAUUAGAAUUGGUUGAUUAAAAAAAAAACCUCAACAUAGAUAAUUAAAAUGGAAUACUUUGUAGCUACCAACUAUGACAAAUAGGUAAACUCAAAAUAAUGUAUGUAGGAAACAAAGUGAAAAGUAUGUAUGGAAAAAUAAGGUUAAGAGAAAAGAAGAAGUAUAUGGAUACUGAUCACAACUGUAUGUGUAUUUAUCAUCUAUAUCAUCAAUAAACAUCCUAAGAGAAUUUGGAAUGAGGCUAAUGGUUGAGUGUAAUACUCACUACUGCUUUAUAAGUUAUUUUUCCUUUUUUUUUUUUUUUUUUUUGAGACAGAGUCUAGCUUUAUCGCCCAGGCUGGAGUACAGUGGCGCAAUCUCAGCUCACUGCAACCUCGGCCUCCCGGGUUCAAGCGAUCCUCCUACCUCAGCCUCCUGAGUAGCCACCUGGCUAAUUUUUUUUUUUUUUUUUUUUUUUUUUUAAGUAGAGACAGGGUUUUGUCAUGUUGGCCAGGCUGGUCUUGAACUCCUGACCUCAAGUGAUCUGCUCACCUUGGCUUCCUAGUAGAGGCUAUUUUUAUAGGUAAAUUAGAAUGUCAAGAUAAAUGUAGCAAAGCUGGGGUGGCCAGGUAAAAAGAUUGGCUGGGCACAGUGGUUCAUGCCUGUAAUCCCAGCCCUUUGGGAGACCAAGGUGGGCGGAUCACCUGAGGUCAGGAGUUCGAGACCAGCCUGGCCAACAUGGCAAAACCCCAUCUCUAUUAAAAAUACAAAAAUUAGCUGGUUAUGGUGGCGCAUGCGUAUAAUCCCAGCUACUUGGGAGGCUGAGACAGUAGAAUCGCUUGAACCCAGGAGGCGGAGGUUGCAGUGAACCGAGAUCGCGCCACCACGCCAACCUAGGUGACAGAGCAAAACUCCAUCUCAAAAAAAACAAGAAAAGAAAAGAAAAAGGAAAACAUAAUUCAGCUAUAAGUAGUGUUACAAAAUGAAGACUGGAAUAGCCAGGAACUGGCUUUCUGGAAUACCUAGGCAUUAAGGCAAGUUGAAUAAGCUUCAGGACAUCUAAAUCAGGCCUCAGUCUACCUUCGUAUAUCUCAAAAGGCAAUCCCUCCCCCUAACACCCACCUUCAGUAUCCCAUUGACCCUUGAAAUGGUGACUGUAGCUCCAUCCAACCUGAUGACUUGGCCAAAUGUUAUAUUGAUAAACUUAGAAAAGAUGCUUAAAUCAUUCCACAUGUACAUUGUUUCUACAUUUCUAUUUCUUUCUUUCUUUUUUUUUUUGAGACAGAGUUUCACUGUUGUUGCCCAGGCUGGAGUGCAAUGGCACAAUCUCGGCUCACUGCAACCUCCACUUUCCACGUUCAAGCAAUUCUCCUGCCUCAGCCUCCCGUGUAGCUGGGAUUAUAGGCAUGCACCACCAUGCUAGGCUAAUUUUGUAUGUUUAGUAGAGACAGUGUUUCACCACGUUGGUCAGGCUGGUCUUGAACUGACCUUAAGUGAUCCACCCACCUCGGCCUCGCAAAGUGCUGGGAUUACAGACGUGAGCCACCGCGCCUGGCCCUUUCUACAUUUCUUGUUCUCAUUUUGUUUUUAACUUAAUUUCAUUAUGAAGUAUAAUAGACAAGCAGAAAAGUGCACAAAGUAGAUAUAUGGUUAAAUUAAUUAUUACUAAAUGAACACUUGUGAUUAUCCAGGUCAAGAAACAGAACAUUGCCAACACCCUCAGAAGCCCCCAUCAUGCCCCUCCCCGAUAAUUUUCCCUCCUCUUCUCCCUAGAUAACCAUUUUUUUGUUUGUUUUUUUGAUUUGUUUGUUUGUUUUUGUUGAGACAUGGUCUUUCUCUGUUGCCCAGGCUAGAGUGCAGUGGCGUGAUCAUGGUUUGUUGCAGUCUCAAAGUCCUGGGUUCAAAGGAUCCUUCCACGUCAGCCUCCCAAGUAGCUGGGACUACAGGCACACCACCACACCUAGCUAAUUUUUUUAUUUUUAUUUUUGCAGAGACAAAGUCUUACUAUGUUAUCCAGGCUGGUGUGGAACUCCUGACCUCAAGCAGUCCUCCCACCUCAGCCUCCCAAAUUGCUGGGAUUAUAGAUGUGAACCACUGUGCCUGGCCAAUAACCACCUUUAACUCUAUACUUUAAGUUUACCUGGUUUUGACAUUUAUAGAAAUUGGGACAUGCCUAGGAUUGGAAUUACUGCUUCAUGUGAUAUGCAUAUUCAACAUUAGUAGAUUUUCUUUUCCUUCCUUCCUUCUUUCCUUCCUUCCUUCCUCCUUUCCUUCCUUCCUUUCCUUCCUUCCUUCCUUCCUUUUCUUUCUUUCCUUUUCUUUUCUUUCUUUCCUUCUUUUCUUUCUUUUUUUUUCUUUUCUUUCUCACAGGGUCUCACUCUAUCUGGGCUAGUCCCAAACUCCUCGGCUUAAGCAAUCCUCCCACCUCAGCCUCCCAAAAUGCUGGGAUUAUCAACAUUAGUAGAUAUUACCAUACACUUUUUCCAGUGUGAUGUAUGAAUUUAUAUAGUCUUCAGCAGUUGAUGAGUUUUCAUUAUGCCACAUCCUUGCCAAGAGUUGGUAUUGUUGUUGUUCUUUUAAAUUUUAGCCAUUAGGUAAAAAUUUUAGAGCCUAAAAUUUUUAAAUGGCCAGUUCUGCAAGGAUUUCCUCUCUUGGAUAUUUUUUUAAAAACCUUUUAUUUUGAAUUUUAGACUUGGAUAGAAGUUGUGAAAAUAGCAAAGAAAUUUCCCAUGUACCUGUCACCUAGCCUACCCUGGUGAUAACAUAAUAUCUUAUAUAACCAUGAUAUAAUUAUCAAAACCAGGAAAUUGAAAUUUAUACAGUACUAUUAGCUAAACAAUGGACCUUAUUUGGAUAUCACUGGUUUGAUAUUACGUGUGUGUGUAUAAUUGAAAUUUUAUUGCAUGUGUAGAGUUGUGUGACCAUGAGGUGAGUAAAUGGGUCUUCAGGGGUAUGACAGGGUAAAACUGAUGCCAAGGGAAAAGCUAGUAGACUCUAUAGUACUAAACACAAUGUCAUUUAAUAUAUGAGUAGCUUUAAAAUUAUUAUAUCAAAAGUCAGUGAUAGGAAAGGCAGCUAGUUACGGUAGCUAAACACACACAGCUGGGUGCGGUGACACAUGCCUAUAGUCCCAGCUACUCAGGAGGCUGAGGCAGGAGGAUCACUUGAGUCCAGGAGUUCAAGUCCAGCCUGAGUGAAAUAGCAAGACCCCGUCUCUAUAAAAACAACAAAAACCCACUCUCACACAUUUGCACACUGUGCGUCUACCUGUUGGGGGAGCUGUGCACAUGGGUAAAGUCCCAGGGUCACUGGUUGAAGUUCACUUUGCAUUAUGACACACUCAGAAGGAAAGAUAAGUUUCUGCCCUUACAUCCAAUUUUACUUGAAGACAACUUUCUGUAGGUGAGGCCAGUGAGAUAACUUUCUGCUGACACCCCACAGCAUCCUCGUUCCUUCUGCCGGACUUCCAGAUUUCUAUUUCUGGCCCAAACCUCUCUCCUGAACAUCACUCCAUGGAUUCGUCUACAACCACUUCUAGUAUUUUCUUCCACAGCCAGGGAAGAAGUCCAUAAACAGCUCCCGGCUACAUCAUACUUAGGACGCCCAGAAAAAUGUAUCAGUAUAUCACAUCUCAGGGAAACCUUUUAUUGACUCUGUUUAGGUGAUGUGCUCAACAAUAAUUCACCACAUGGCCCAGGAGCCACCACCCUGGACCACAAACCCCAUAGCAGAUGCAGUCAGUACCUCACUCAUAUACCCUUGGCUCACUCCAAAGGUUACCUGCAGAUAGUUCCUUUAUGACCCGGUGUGUCUGUCUGUCGGAGGGAGUUCUUUAGCCCCUAGAGUCAGCUUGGCUGACAUGCAGGGCAGGCUGGAAAUGCUGUGGAGGUAACAACUCAGGAGCAAGCCACAUCCGGUGAGGAAAAACAAUAGAGGACAGAUAAUCCUGUUCCUUACCCUUCAGUGGGAUAAUUUUGAGGUGUGUUCUCCACAGUUUUGCAGAAGGCUUAGAGAGACUGAGUCACAGUUGUCCUCAGUGGUAACCUGCUCAUUAAUGCAUCCUUUAUUUGGUUUUCCUCCUCUCUCUGACUUCCCUUCCCCCUCACUGUGUUUUCUGGGAUAAACUCCCAAAUAAACUACUUGUACCAAAAUCCUUGCCUUGGGAUCUGCUUUCUGGGAAAUCAAAAUUAAGACAACCCCUGUAAAGGGAGGAGGCCAUCUUCCUGAGUGCCCCAUCAAGACCACAGGGACCAGGGGGAGAUCUUAGACCCCAAAACCACAUUGUGACAAUAUCUUUGCUGACAUCCCACUUUAUUUCCUUCCUUUUUUUUUUUUUUUAAGAGAUAGAAUCUUUUUCUGUGGCCAUGGCUGGAGUGCAGUGGCAUGAUCAUAGCUCACUGCAGCCUUGAACUUCUGGCGUUAAGCAAUCCUGCCUCAGCCUCCCAAGUAGCUGGAACUACAGGUGCAUGCCACCACACCUGGAUAAUUUUUUUUGGUAGAGACAGGGUCUGGCUCUGUUGCCCAGGCUGAUCUUAAACUCCUGGUCUCCCAAAGCACUGGAUAUCCCACUUUUUUCUUCUUCUUCUUCUGUUUUUGAGACAGUGUCUCUGUCACCCAGGCUGGAGUGCAAUGGCACGAUCUUGGCUCACUGCAAGCUCUGCCUCCCGGGUUCAAGCAAUUCUCCUGCCUCAGCCUCUUGAGUAGCUGGGAUUACAGGCACUUGCCACCAUGCCCGGCUAAUUUUUUUGUAUUUUUAGUAGAGAUGGGGUUUCGCCAUGUUGGCCAGGCUGGUCUCGAACUCCUGACCUCAGGUGAUCUGCCUGCCUCGGCCUUCCAAAGUGCUGGGAUUACAAGCAUGAGCCACUGCACCCGGCCUGGAUAUCCC
rnacentral:lncRNA from 1 species